rnacentral:rRNA from 1 species
UACGUAGGGCGCGAGCGUUGUCCGGAAUUAUUGGGCGUAAAGAGCUCGUAGGCGGCUUGUCGCGUCGGUUGUGAAAGCCCGGGGCUUAACCCCGGGUCUGCAGUCGAUACGGGCAGGCUAGGGUUCGGUAGGGGAGAUCGGAAUUCCUGGUGUAGCGGUGAAAUGCGCAGAUAUCAGGAGGAACACCGGUGGCGAAGGCGGAUCUCUGGGCCGAUACUGACGCUGAGGAGCGAAAGCGUGGGGAGCGAACAGG